UUUUCAGUAAAGGUUGGAGGAAAGUCACCAUUUUCUUCCUCUCUCCAUCCGCAUUUGUGGUAACAAGUGGCUGCUUCCCUGAAGAGACUGGGCCACUGAAGUCAGCAUUUUACGUGGAUCAACACUCAAAGCAUCUGCAUGAGGGUCAGAAUGAAGGAUGCCCACUGGAGCUGGGAAUUGUUGAUCAGGUGGAUCAACACUCCAACCACCUGCAUCUGGAUCUGCUUUAGAGACACCCACUGGAGCUGAAAAAGAUGAAGCAGGUGGAUCAGCAUGUAAACCAUUUGCAUAAGGAUCUGCAUGAAGGAUGCUCACAAGAGCUGGGAAUGCUGGAUCAAUUGCCGGGCAACAUUACUGGUGAACACCUUGGAGCAAAUUCUCCAUACUGUCUUCUUCAUAUUUGGCCCACCGCUGAUUGAUAGUCUGUUCACAUUCAACAGGUUUUGUUCUAGCCUGUCUAGGUCUGCAAUGGAUGCUAAAGGAAAGACACCACCUUCCUCUUCUACAUCCAUUUGCAUUUGGGGUACAACGCGCCUGUUUCCCAAUAGAGACUGGACCAGUGAAG